GGCCAAUGAAAGUGGCCUUCAUUCUAUGCAACGCCAUCACAUUCUCAAAGAGGAUCCAGAAGACAAUUAAAUGAACCGACCUGCAUGAUUCAAUGAUUUUGUUGUUAAUCUUCAGGUUUGCUGGUCCACAUGACCAUCUGUGUUGUUGAUAUCGGUAUGCCUUGAGUGUGCUUGGGAGCUCAUUUUUCACCUGAAAAUACAUAUUUGGGUACUGCUGGGUUUUUACCAUGAGGUCGCCAAGGAAUACAAACUUCCAUCCUUUGAGGCUUGCUCGGACCGCCAAAUCCAUGUCUUCAACAGUGGUCCUAUCCUUCCAACCUCCUGCCUCAUUCAGAGCUGAUAUGCGCCAUACACCGGCAGUUCCUGUCGACAAACAUUGGAAUGUUUCAUAUGACUUUGAGAUGUGGGACAUGCCCCCCUUUUUUUCACUUUACAAAGACUCGGAGACAGAGUGAUCUCACUGCGACUUUGUGAGAGCUGAAACACGUGGUAGAAAAUGAAAAGGUUGAGGGACCAUGCAGAAUCAUGUGAACGAGAAAGGAAACACAGAGAACGUCCCCCGCAAGAGAAAACAUAGGAAGAGAGGGACCCGAUGGA